rnacentral:rRNA from 1 species
UACGUAGGGUGCGAGCGUUGUCCGGAAUUAUUGGGCGUAAAGAGCUCGUAGGCGGUCUGUCGCGUCGAAUGUGAAAACCCGGGGCUCAACUCCGGGCUUGCAUUCGAUACUGGCAGGCUAGAGUUCGGUAGGGGAGUCUGGAAUUCCUGGUGUAGCGGUGAAAUGCGCAGAUAUCAGGAGGAACACCGGUGGCGAAGGCGGGACUCUGGGCAGAUACUGACGCUGAGGAGCGAAAGCGUGGGGAGCGAACAGG